GACGGGGGGGGCAAGUGUUCUUCGGAAUGACUGGGCGUAAAGGGCACGUAGGCGGUGAAUCGGGUUGAAAGUGAAAGUCGCCAAAAAGUGGCGGAAUGCUCUCGAAACCAAUUCACUUGAGUGAGACAGAGGAGAGUGGAAUUUCGUGUGUAGGGGUGAAAUCCGUAGAUCUACGAAGGAACACCGGUGGCGAAGGCGGCAUCCUGGACCGACACUGACGCUGAUGCGCGAAAGCCAGGGGAGCAAACGGG
rnacentral:rRNA from 1 species